AGAGUUUGAUCCUGGCUCAGAGCGAACGCUGGCGGCAGGCUUAACACAUGCAAGUCGAGCGGGCGUAGCAAUACGUCAGCGGCAGACGGGUGAGUAACGCGUGGGAACAUACCUUUUGGUUCGGAACAACCCAGGGAAACUUGGGCUAAUACCGGAUAAGCCCUUACGGGGAAAGAUUUAUCGCCGAAAGAUUGGCCCGCGUCUGAUUAGCUAGUUGGUGAGGUAACGGCUCACCAAGGCGACGAUCAGUAGCUGGUCUGAGAGGAUGAUCAGCCACAUUGGGACUGAGACACGGCCCAAACUCCUACGGGAGGCAGCAGUGGGGAAUAUUGGACAAUGGGGGCAACCCUGAUCCAGCCAUGCCGCGUGAGUGAUGAAGGCCCUAGGGUUGUAAAGCUCUUUUGUGCGGGAAGAUAAUGACGGUACCGCAAGAAUAAGCCCCGGCUAACUUCGUGCCAGCAGCCGCGGUAAUACGAAGGGGGCUAGCGUUGCUCGGAAUCACUGGGCGUAAAGGGUGCGUAGGCGGGUCUUUAAGUCAGGGGUGAAAUCCUGGAGCUCAACUCCAGAACUGCCUUUGAUACUGAGGAUCUUGAGUCCGGGAGAGGUGAGUGGAACUGCGAGUGUAGAGGUGAAAUUCGUAGAUAUUCGCAAGAACACCAGUGGCGAAGGCGGCUCACUGGCCCGGUACUGACGCUGAGGCACGAAAGCGUGGGGAGCAAACAGGAUUAGAUACCCCCGUAGUCC
rnacentral:rRNA from 1 species